UUAAUUGAAGAGUUUGAUCAUGGCUCAGAUUGAACGCUGGCGGCAGGCCUAACACAUGCAAGUCGAGCGGUAACAGGGGAAGCUUGCUUCCCGCUGACGAGCGGCGGACGGGUGAGUAAUGUAUGGGGAUCUGCCCGAUAGAGGGGGAUAACCACUGGAAACGGUGGCUAAUACCGCAUAAUCUCUUAGGAGCAAAGCAGGGGAACUUCGGUCCUUGCGCUAUCGGAUGAACCCAUAUGGGAUUAGCUAGUAGGUGGGGUAAUGGCUCACCUAGGCGACGAUCCCUAGCUGGUCUGAGAGGAUGAUCAGCCACACUGGGACUGAGACACGGCCCAGACUCCUACGGGAGGCAGCAGUGGGGAAUAUUGCACAAUGGGCGCAAGCCUGAUGCAGCCAUGCCGCGUGUAUGAAGAAGGCC
rnacentral:rRNA from 2 species